UACGUAGGUGGCGAGCGUUGUCCGGAUUUACUGGGCGUAAAGAGCGCGCAGGCGGUCGUACAAGUCGCGUGUGAAAGCCCCCGGCUCAACUGGGGAGGGUCACGCGAUACUGUUCGACUCGAAGGCAGGAGAGGGAAGUGGAAUUCCCGGUGUAGCAGUGAAAUGCGUAGAGAUCGGGUGGAACACCAGGGGCGAAGGCGGCUGCCUGGCCCUGACCUGACGCUGAGGCGCGAGAGCGUGGGGAGCAAACCGG
rnacentral:rRNA from 1 species